AAUGAACGUUGGCGGCAUGGAUUAGGCAUGCAAGUCGAGCGAGAAUCGUAGCAAUACGAGGAAAGUGGCGGAAGGGAGAGGAUUACGUGGGAAUCUACCCUCAGAACUGGGAUAGCGACGGGAAACUGCCGGUAAUACCAGAUAAUGUCUGUGGACCAAAGGUGUGAUUCCGUCUGGGGAUGAGCCCACGUCCUAUUAGCUAGUUGGCAGGGUAAUGGCCUACCAAGGCAAUGAUGGGUAGCGGGUGUGAGAGCAUGACCGGCCUCACUGGGACUGAGAACUGCCCAGACACCUACGGGUGGCUGCAGUCGAGAAUCUUCGGCAAUGAGCGCAAGCUUGACCGAGCGACGCCGCGUGCGGGAUGAAGGCCUUCGGGUUGUAAACCGCUGUCGUAGGGGAGCAAGAGAUGAGGGUACUCCCUCUGAUUUGAGCGAUCCUAGGAGGAAGGACGGGCUAAGUUCGUGCCAGCAGCCGCCGUAACAC
rnacentral:rRNA from 1 species